rnacentral:lncRNA from 1 species
CCAGGUGUGGACGUUCUUCGAUUGGAAAUGACCAGAUCCCAGAAGAUUUGAAGAUGGGCCUGGCUCUCCCUUCACUGAGGUUUGCCUUGCUUUCUCAGGUAUAUGAUACAGUAAAACAAACUUUGUGGUAACAGUCAGUUACUUGUCCUGAAGUGCCUUAGCUCUCCCAUGGAUUAAUUGAAGACUCUUAAUUUAGGCACAUAGUUCAAAUUCAUAUGAUUUUACAGGUUACAUGUAUUUGAUUCAAUCCAAGACUUAUCAGAUUUUAUACAAGGCCCUGGGCAUAGAGGUGACUAACUUAAGGUCUCUACCCUGUGGUUGUUCAAUGUGCAGAGGAGGAGGGGGAUAG